rnacentral:lncRNA from 1 species
CCAGAUUGCCUCUUUACUGGCUUGUGUAGCUGCCACGUAUUCUGCCUCUGUAGUAGAAGUAGCCAUGAUAGACUGCAGUUUCGAAACCUAGCUUACAGCUCCUCUAGCAAGAGUAAACACAUAUCCUGUGGUGGAUUUGCUUUUAUCAAGAUCACCUGCAUAAUCUGAAUCAACAUAGCCUCUGACAAUAAAGUCUGAUCCUCCAUAACAUAAUGUAGCAUUUGAGGUACCCUUGACAUAUCUCAGGAUCCUCUUCACAGUACUCCAAUGCUCUUUACCAGGAUUUGCCAUGUAUCGACUAACCGCUCCCACUGCUUGUGCAAUGUCUGGUCUUGUACAAAUCAUAGCAAACAUCAAACUACCCACUGCUGAUGCAUAUGGUACUCGAGACAUCUCCAUCCUCUUUGCUUCAUUGCUAGGACUCAUACUUGAGGAUAACUUGAAAUUAAUAGAAAGUGGGGUAGAAAUUGGCUUACAAUCUUGCAUAUUGAAGUGACGCAAGAUUUUCUUCAAGUAGUUCUUC